GAUGAACGCUGGCGGCGUGCCUAAUACAUGCAAGUCGAGCGAACAGACGAGGAGCUUGCUCCGCUGACGUUAGCGGCGGACGUGUGAGUAACACGUGGAUAACCUACCUAUAAGACUGGGAUAACUUCGGGAAACCGGAUCUAAUACCGUAUAAUAUAUUGAACCGCAGGGUUCAAUAGUGAAAUACGGUUUUGCUGUCACUUAUAGAUGGAUCCGCGCCGCAUUAGCUAGUUGGUAAGGUAACGGCUUACCAAGGCAACGAUGCGUAGCCGACCUGAGAGGGUGAUCGGCCACACUGGAAGUGAGACACGGUCAAGACUACUACGGGAGGUAGCAGUAGGGAAUCUUCCGCAAUGGGCGAAAGCCUGACGGAGCAACGCCGCGUGAGUGAUGAAGGUCUUCGGAUCGUAAAACUCUGUUAUUAGGGAAGAACAAAUGUGUAAGUAAAUAUGCACGUAUUGACGGUACCUAAUCAGAAAGCAACGGCUAACUACGUG
rnacentral:rRNA from 1 species